UCCUGAUAAAUAGGAAGUAAUAAGUUCC
rnacentral:sRNA from 1 species